AGAGUUUGAUCCUGGCUCAGAACGAACGCUGGCGGCAGGCUUAACACAUGCAAGUCGAACGCAUCCUUCGGGGUGAGUGGCAGACGGGUGAGUAACGCGUGGGAACGUGCCCUUCAGUUCGGAAUAACCCAGGGAAACUUGGGCUAAUACCGGAUACGUGCGAGAGCAGAAAGAUUUAUCGCUGAAGGAUCGGCCCGCGUCUGAUUAGCUAGUUGGUGAGGUAAUGGCUCACCAAGGCGACGAUCAGUAGCUGGUCUGAGAGGAUGAUCAGCCACAUUGGGACUGAGACACGGCCCAAACUCCUACGGGAGGCAGCAGUGGGGAAUAUUGGACAAUGGGCGCAAGCCUGAUCCAGCCAUGCCGCGUGAGUGAUGAAGGCCUUAGGGUUGUAAAGCUCUUUCGUCCGGGACGAUAAUGACGGUACCGGAAGAAGAAGCCCCGGCUAACUUCGUGCCAGCAGCCGCGGUAAUACGAAGGGGGCUAGCGUUGUUCGGAAUCACUGGGCGUAAAGGGCGCGUAGGCGGCUUGAUAAGUCGGGGGUGAAAGCCUGUGGCUCAACCACAGAAUUGCCUUCGAUACUGUCUGGCUUGAGACCGGAAGAGGUAAGUGGAACUGCGAGUGUAGAGGUGAAAUUCGUAGAUAUUCGCAAGAACACCAGUGGCGAAGGCGGCUUACUGGUCCGGUUCUGNNGCUGAGNNGCGAAAGCGUGGGGAGCAAACAGGAUUAGAUACCCUAGUAGUCC
rnacentral:rRNA from 1 species